CGGGGAGGACGCAGCUUUGAUCCGCCCCCCGCGCGCAGGAUGAAGGCCCUCGGGCCGAAACCGCCCCUGUAGGGAACGAAAAGGCCUCUCCUAAUACGAGAGGCCCAUGACGGUACCGUAAGAAUAAGCACCGGCUAACCACGCGCCAGCAGCCGCGAUAAUACGCAGGGUGCAAGCGCUAAUCGGAACUACCGGGCGUAAAGCGUGCGCAGGCGGUUAUAUAAGACAGAUGUGAAAUCCCCGGGCUCAACCUGGGAACCGCAUUUGUGACUGUAUAGCUAGAGUACGGUAGAGGGGGAUGGAAUUCCGCGUGUAGCAGUGAAAUGCGUAGAUAUGCGGAGGAACACCGAUGGCGAAGGCAAUCCCCUGGACCUGUACUGACGCUCAUGCACGAAA
rnacentral:rRNA from 1 species